rnacentral:rRNA from 1 species
UAGUCCACGCUGUAAACGAUGUCGAUUUGGAGUUUGUUGCCUAGAGUGAUGGGCUCCGAAGCUAACGCGAUAAAUCGACCGCCUGGGGAGUACGGCCGCAAGGUUAAAACUCAAAUGAAUUGACGGGGGCCCGCACAAGCGGUGGAGCAUGUGGUUUAAUUCGAUGCAACGCGAAGAACCUUACCUGGUCUUGACAUCCAUAGAAUUCUGCAGAGAUGUGGGAGUGCCUUCGGGAACUAUGAGACAGGUGCUGCAUGGCUGUCGUCAGCUCGUGUUGUGAAAUGUUGGGUUAAGUCCCGCAACGAGCGCAACCCUUAUUCUUUGUUGCCAGCGAUUUGGUCGGGAACUCAAAGGAGACUGCCGUUGAUAAAGCGGAGGAAGGUGGGGACGACGUCAAGUCAUCAUGGCCCUUACGACCAGGGCUACACACGUGCUACAAUGGCGUAUACAAAGGGAAGCGAAGGUGCGAGCUGGAGCGGAUCUCAUAAAGUACGUCUAAGUUCGGAUUGGAGUCUGCAACUCGACUCCAUGAAGUCGGAAUCGCUAGUAAUCGUAGAUCAGAAUGCUACGGUGAAUACGUUCCCGGGCCUUGUACACACCGCCCGUCACACCAUGGGAGUGGGUUGCACCAGAAGUAGAUAGCUUAACCGCGAGGGGGGCGUUUACCACGGUGUGAUUCAUGACUGGGGUGAAGUCGUAACAAGGUAACCA